ACUCCUACGGGAGGCAGCAGUGGGGAUAUGCACAAUGGGGGAAACCCUGAGCAGCAACGCCGCGUGAGUGUGAAGGCCUUCGGGUUGUAAAGCUCUGUCUUUGGGGACGAUAAUGACGGUACCCAAGGAGGAAGCCACGGCUAACUACGUGCCAGCAGCCGCGGUAAUACGUAGGUGGCAAGCGUUGUCCGGAUUUACUGGGCGUAAAGGGAGCGUAGGUGGAUAUUUAAGUGGGAUGUGAAAUCCCCGGGCUUAACCUGGGGGCUGCAUUCCAAACUGGAUAUCUAGAGUGCAGGAGAGGAGAGUGGAAUUCCUAGUGUAGCGGUGAAAUGCGUAGAGAUUGGGAAGAACACCAGUGGCGAAGGCGACUCUCUGGACUGUAACUGACACUGAGGCUCGAAAGCGUGGGGAGCAAACAGGAUUAGAUACCCUGGUAGUC
rnacentral:rRNA from 1 species